rnacentral:rRNA from 1 species
UACGUAGGUGGCAAGCGUUAUCCGGAUUUAUUGGGCGUAAAGCGAGCGCAGGCGGUUGCUUAGGUCUGAUGUGAAAGCCUUCGGCUUAACCGAAGAAGUGCAUCGGAAACCGGGCAACUUGAGUGCAGAAGAGGACAGUGGAACUCCAUGUGUAGCGGUGGAAUGCGUAGAUAUUAGGAGGAACACCAGUUGCGAAGGCGGCUCUCUGGUCUGCAACUGACGCUGAGGCUCGAAAGUGUGGGUAUCGAACAGG